rnacentral:rRNA from 1 species
AUUGAACGCUGGCGGCAGGCCUAACACAUGCAAGUCGAACGGUAACAGGAAACAGCUUGCUGUUUCGCUGACGAGUGGCGGACGGGUGAGUAAUGUCUGGGAAACUGCCUGAUGGAGGGGGAUAACUACUGGAAACGGUAGCUAAUACCGCAUAACGUCGCAAGACCAAAGAGGGGGACCUUAGGGCCUCUUGCCAUCGGAUGUGACCAGAUGGGAUUAGCUAGUAGGUGGGGUAAAGGCUCACCUAGGCGACGAUCCCUAGCUGGUCUGAGGGGAUGGACCGCCAGACUGGAACGGAGACACGGUCCAGAGUCCUACGAGAGGCAGCAGUGGGGAAUAUUGCACAAUGGGCGCAAGCCUGAUGCAGCCAUGCGGCGUGUAUGAAGAAGGCCUUCGGGUUAUAAAGUACUUUCAGCGGGGAGGAAGGGAGUAAAGUUAAUACCUUUGCUCAUUGACGUUACCCGCAGAAGAAGCACCGGCUAACUCCGUGCCAGCCGCCGCAGUAAUAC